UUUAGCCACACAAAGGACAGGAGUAGGAGGAGCUCUGCUUGCUCUGCAUCAAUGGCGACGAGGAGCGGCUACACCAGAGAAAGAGGAAGCUCAAUCCUGUUCUUGGGUUUUGGAGAUUAAACUGUCGAAUCCAGCGGAGCUCUUCACACUUCCCGCGAUAGAAGACGAACUCUCGAAGGAGUUCCUCGAUCCGGAGUACUGCAGGAUAGACACUUCAUCUGUCCCGUAAGGUUGCGUUUGUCCUAGCAGGUACAGGGAGGAGAUUGCUUGGUUUCUCCAAUGAUUCAUAUUUCUGUUUCCCUUCUCAGACUUUUGGAUGUUGUUUUUCUUUGAAUCCAAUCUGAUAGUUUCUGAAUCACCAAUGGAGAAAGCCUACUUAGAUCUAUGGACAGAGAGAAGCAACAUGGAGUUUGACAAGUGACAACGAGCAGCUUGUGAACAAGCUGAGGAACAAAAUAAUCGGCAAUAAAAUUAGUAUGGCAAGGAGCUACAAGAUGAUCACGGACGAGGAGAUGAAGCGAGCAUCAAUGGUUAUAUAGCACUAGUGACAUAAGUACCAGGAUUGUUGAGACAAAGUGCUUAACUCAGGAGGGGAACUUCAUAAUAAGGUCAUAUAAUGGUUGCAAUGAAAGCACCACUAGCAUCUUUAUCAAAUGACACAGUAAGAACCAUGUUUAGUUAACGAA